rnacentral:rRNA from 1 species
CCUACGGGAGGCAGCAGUGAGGAAUAUUGGUCAAUGGGCGCGAGCCUGAACCAGCCACGCCACGUGCGCGAAGACGGUCCUAUGGAUUGUAAACCUCUUUCGCCGGGGAGCAAAAGACGCCACGUGUGGCGUUCCGAGAGUACCCGAAGUAAAAGCAUCGGAAAACACCGUGCCAGCACCCGCGGUAAUACGGAGGAUGCGACGGUUAUCCGGAUUUAUUGGGUUAAAAGGGUGCGCAGGCGGAAUAUCAUGUCAGCGGUAAAAUUGAGAGGCUCAACCUCUUCGAGCCGUUGAAACUGGUUUUCUUGAGUGAGCGAGAAGUAUGCGGAAUGCGUGGUGUAGCGGUGAAAUGCAUAGAUAUCACGCAGAACUCCGAUUGCGAAGGCAGCAUACCGGCGCUCAACUGACGCUCAUGCACGAAAGUGUGGGUAUCGAACAGGAUUAGAUACCCGAGUAGUC